rnacentral:rRNA from 2 species
AUGGACGCAAGUCUGAUGGAGCAACGCCGCGUGAGUGAAGAAGGCUUUCGGGUCGUAAAACUCUGUUGUUGGAGAAGAAUGGUCGGCAGAGUAACUGUUGUCGGCGUGACGGUAUCCAACCAGAAAGCCACGGCUAACUACGUGCCAGCAGCCGCGGUAAUACGUAGGUGGCAAGCGUUAUCCGGAUUUAUUGGGCGUAAAGCGAGCGCAGGCGGUUUUUUAAGUCUGAUGUGAAAGCCCUCGGCUUAACCGAGGAAGCGCAUCGGAAACUGGGAAACUUGAGUGCAGAAGAGGACAGUGGAACUCCAUGUGUAGCGGUGAAAUGCGUAGAUAUAUGGAAGAACACCAGUGGCGAAGGCGGCUGUCUGGUCUGUAACUGACGCUGAGGCUCGAAAGCAUGGGUAGCGAACAGGAUUAGAUACCCUGGUAGUCCAUGCCGUAAACGAUGAAUGCUAGGUGUUGGAGGGUUUCCGCCCUUCAGUGCCGCAGCUAACGCAUUAAGCAUUCCGCCUGGGGAGUACGACCGCAAGGUUGAAACUCAAAGGAAUUGACGGGGGCCCGCACAAGCGGUGGAGCAUGUGGUUUAAUUCGAAGCAAGCGAAGAACCUACCAGGUCUGACAUCUUUUGAUCACCUGAGAGAUCAGGUUUCCCCUUCGGGGGCAAAAUGACAG